GAGAGUGGAUCUAGGGAAGGAGGGGAAGAGAAUGAAGACAAAGUGUGGUGAUAUUAUCUUUCAUUCGCAUUAGAGUCUACUCAGCAAUCCAUAUAGUGACAUGGGAAAUUUGGAAUAUAAAAUGAGGGAGGAACAAAACCAGCCAACCAGCAUAAAGGUACCCUUUUUAUGGAUGCUGCUGUUUUCUUAUUCAUAUAAUGCAAUGCAAUGUAAUGCUCCAGGAAGUGCUGGUAUCAUUGCAAUCCGUUUCCCAUCUUUUCCUUUUUAUGCUUGGAAUUUGGUUUUCUAUUGCACACCCCACUAGCACACAACUAUAGGAUUUGACCACUGAGUGACCUUGUUAUGCUUGCUUAUUUAUAUUCAUUACUUGGAAUGCUUUUCAAAGUAAAGGAUGAAUGAGUGUGCUUGAUUCAAUGAGUUUGAAACCAAUGCAAAGGGGUUUUUUCUUAUACUUUUUUACUUAAUAAAGGGGUAUGUUUACUACUCUGUUUCCUGCUUCUGCUCCCAACACAGAAUUAAUGUUUGUUGUCAUUUGCCAAAAAUUUACUGGCGAUGAUGAAGUGAAUCCAUAAAAGGUAUACAACCAUGGAUUUCCUUUGAGUAAAAGUUUUGUUGAUUUCGUGUUCCAUCUAAAUAUUUGUGGAGAGGGGGCAAUGAAUUAUAUCAUGUAAAAUACCAAUUUCUUGUAUACAUCUCAAUAUUGGGACAACUUCAAAGCUCUUUAUAUUAUAACCCUCCACUUGUUAUUGAAAAUUAUAAUCAAAAGCCUUUGAAGAUACCAUACAACAAUAGGAAUUAUAUUCAUAUAAUUGUUAACGACUUUUUCUUUUGGAUAAUACAAUGUUUCAAAGUCUGUAUCAUCAGGUAAAUAUUGCAUAAACCCACAGAUUUCAAGUUGUUGAAUGUUUACUUCCUUUUUAGAAGUAUUUCAUUAUAUCCCACUGAAUCAAGAAAUUUAAAUCAGUAAAGCAAAGAAAAAAACAAUUUUCCAAUUGAAAAAUAUGUAUUAUAGGAUAAGAAAAAAAUAUACAUUAGAAUUUUUUAAAAAUGAAUAGCUAAAGGUUGAACAACAUAUGUUUUUAUCGGAGCAUAUGGAAACCAACGACACCAUAUUAUUUAGGACUUUAUAUGAUGAUUUAUAUGCUUGUCGAUUUUUCCACUUGAUGAUAUUCAUUUUUAUUUUAUAGAGUAAUAUGAAACAAAUACACUUCGAUGCAGGCUUAUUUUUCUUUUUAAAAAAAUAAUAUUUUUGUAAUAUGUUUUGCCACUUGACUUUGUUAUUAAUUAGCUUUGUUGUUUCACUUUGUUUAACUUGCACUGAUUGGGUCAAUAACUUGAUGCUAAAACUUCAACAUGUUACUUGAAGUAUUCGAACUAAGUUUUGUCUUUUCUGUCCUUCAGUGGACCUUUGUCCUAUCUUCUUGUUAUGUUAAUGUGAUAUGCAGGGGUUCAUUAUAUUCUUGUUCAUGGAAAAAUUAUUUUCUUCGUGUUAACAGUAUAAUUCAUCUUUGAUGCAAUUACAAUUUAAUGAAGAUUUAAAGAUAGAUGCUAAAAGUUAUCAGAAAUAAAUAGUUAUUAUAUUUUGUUUGUGAUUAUUAGGAGUGUUGUUUAUGAAUUCUAUUCCAUACAUUAGAAAUAAAUAUUAGAAUUUAGUAAUAUAUAUAUAUAUAUAUAUAUAUAUAUAUUUUUUUUUUUUUUUCCUCUUAGAGAGGGUGCUUUUUUAGUUGGUACACUUUAACAUAGUAUAUCAAAUUUUAGUUAACAAAAAUAUCAUCAUAUAUUAUGGAUUCUAAGUUUUAAGGUUAAUGGUAUUUGAAUAAUUUCAAUUUUUAAAACUAAAAAAAAUAAGAAACUCUCAAAUCCUUACUCACCUAUCUCUCUCUGAUUCCUUAUUCCUCUCAAACUUUUCUCUUUUAUCCAUCUCACUCCCACAUUCCUUCUGUCAUCCCUACACUAGUCCUAACUCGUCGAUUGUCGUCUCUUAGCCAACAACAGCCUUACCGUUGGUUAGACAACCAACCCAACGCCUAACAACAACCAACAAUCACGACAAUAGUCGCGACUCGCUAGCAGCUCGCUCACCAGCAUCCUAACAACGACCUGCCACCAUGACCCACGAGCACCCCACCAACGUUCCGGUGACAACCAACGAGCAACCCACCAUGACAGCAUUAGGCAACCACCAUCUUACCAAUCAAUCCCAUCAUUGAUAGUAAGCACAAAAGGUGUUUGUGAAAAUGCUUGUGAGAAAAAACCAAUUGCAUGUUUUUUUUUUUUUUAAUUUUGUUAUGUCUUUUAUGAUGUCAAUUGUCUUUGUUGUAUUAGUUCAAUUUUCUCUUGCCAAUAUUGCUUGCUCCUUUGCUGAUAUUUCUAAUAUUGAUUGAACGUUUGAUGAUGCUUUUUUUAAGGGAUGUUUCCUCGUAUGGUUCAGCUUCAAAGAAGUUAAAGCUACUGAAGAAAAAAUAGAGGAAGAAAAUUGAAAUUAGACUUGUUAUCUAGUAUAUACAAUCCCAUUUAGAAUGCAAAUUGAAAUUAUUGAAAUUUGUUGUCCAUUUAGUUUAUUGAAAUUAUUGUGGGCUUAUUGAUUCACUUAAGUAUGGGUAAUUCUUGACAAAAAAUACAUGUGAUUCAAGUAUAUAUCAUCUAAUACUUUC
rnacentral:lncRNA from 1 species